CCUACGGGAGGCAGCAGUGGGGAAUAUUGCACAAUGGGGGAAACCCUGAUGCAGCAACGCCGCGUGGGUGAAGGAGCGUUUCGGCGCGUAAAGCCCUGUCAGCGGGGAAGAAGAAAGACGGGACCCGACCAAUAAGCCACGGCUAACUACGUGCCAGCAGCCGCGGUACUACGUAGGGGGCGAGCGGUAUACGGUAUUACUGGGGGUAAAGGGAUCGUAGACGGCGAGGUAUGCCUGGAGUGGAAGCCCGCGGCCCAACCGCGGGACGGCUUUGGAAACUGUUUUGCUGGAGUAUGGGAGGGGUAAGCGGAAUUCCUGGUGGAGCGGUGAAAUGCGUAGAUAUCAGGAGGAACACCGGUGGCGAAGGCGGCUUACUGGACCAUAACUGACGUUGAGGCUCGAAAGCGUGGGGAGCGAACAGGAUUAGAUACCCGGGUAGUC
rnacentral:rRNA from 1 species